rnacentral:rRNA from 1 species
UACAGAGGGGGCGAGCGUUGUUCGGAAUUACUGGGCGUAAAGGGCGCGUAGGCGGCCUUCUAAGUCGAACGUGAAAUCCCCGGGCUCAACCCGGGAACUGCGUCCGAUACUGGGAGGCUUGAAUCCGGGAGAGGGAUGUGGAAUUCCAGGUGUAGCGGUGAAAUGCGUAGAUAUCUGGAGGAACACCGGUGGCGAAGGCAAUCCCCUGGGCCUGUACUGACGCUCAUGCACGAAAGCGUGGGGAGCAAACAGG